rnacentral:rRNA from 1 species
GAUGAACGCUGGCGGCAUGCCUAAUACAUGCAAGUCGAGCGAACGGACGAGAAGCUUGCUUCUCUGAUGUUAGCGGCGGACGGGUGAGUAACACGUGGAUAACCUACCUAUAAGACUGGGAUAACUUCGGGAAACCGGAGCUAAUACCGGAUAAUAUUUUGAACCGCAUGGUUCAAAAGUGAAAGACGGUCUUGCUGUCACUUAUAGAUGGAUCCGCGCUGCAUUAGCUAGUUGGUAAGGUAACGGCUUACCAAGGCAACGAUGCAUAGCCGACCUGAGAGGGUGAUCGGCCACACUGGAACUGAGACACGGUCCAGACUCCUACGGGAGGCAGCAGUAGGGAAUCUUCCACAAUGGGCGAAAGCCUGACGCAGCAACGCCGCGUGAGUGAUGAAGGUCUUCGGAUCGUAAAACUCUGUUGUUAGGAAAGAACAUAUGUGUAAGUAACUGUGCACAUCUUGACGGUACCUAAUCAGAAAGCAACGGCUAACUACGUG